rnacentral:rRNA from 1 species
UAGGGAAUAUUAGUGAUGGGCGAAAGCCUGAACUAGCAACGCCGCGCGUGCGAAGAAGGCCUUCGGGUUGUAAAGCACUUUUUGAGAGGAUGAGGAAGGACGGUACUCUCAGAAUAAGUCUCGGCUAACUACGUGCCAGCAGCCGCGGUAACACGUAGGAGGCAAACGUUAUCCGGAUUUACUAGGCGUAAAGCGCGUGUAGGUGGUUUGGUAAGUAGGGCGUGAAAGCUCCUGGCUCAACUGGGAGAGGACGUUCUAAACUGCCAAGCUUGAGGAUGGUAGAGGGAGGUGGAAUUCCGGGUGUAGCGGUGGAAUGCGCAGAUAUCCGGAGGAACACCAGUGGCGAAGGCGGCCUCCUGGACCACUCCUGACACUCAGACGCGAAAGCUAGGGUAGCAAACGG